GGUCAGCUUCUGAAGAAAGUAGAAGUCCUCGCCACUCGUUCGCGGCGUCAGGCCUCCCACCUGUCGGUAGACGCGGACCGGCAACGCGAUCGCCGAACCGAGCGCGGUGAACGAAUAAGGAGACCCGAUGCGCCAAAGGUUGAGCGCGUAGAAGCGCAUGUAGAUCUCGUAUCCCAGCAUCGCGCGGGUGACGGAGUCGUCUUCGGUCAGCGGAUGGAAGUAACGCGCGGAGAUGCCGCAAGCAGUCGGAUGUCGGGCAAACGCGUCGACGAGCGAGUUCAGGUAGCCGGGGGGCACAAGCGUGUCGGCGUCCAGGCUGACGAUGAGGUCGUUGUCGCCGGCCUCGGCGCAGAUCGCGUCCAUCAGUUCCUUGCGGGCGUGGCCGACUCCGCCUCGCUUGGGCGGCCGGCCGCAGCCUGGAGACGCGCGGUCGAUGAUCCGGACGUUGAGGU
rnacentral:rRNA from 1 species